AGAGAGCGAGAGAGAGAGAGAGAGAGAGAGAGAGAGAGAGAGAGAGAGAGAGAGUAAAAGGGGCCUUGACCAAGGCUACUGUUUAUUGCGAAGAUGGAGUCCUUUUUCAUUGAAGUGAAAUGAAAGUUAGAGAAGAAAGAGUGUUGUGAAAAGAUGCCGACAAGGGGAAUGUAUUCGGGGACAGGUUUUUACAUUGUUGUGGACAAAGUUGGUGCGGCCAAACUCGCUAUUCAGAUCUGACCCAUGACACCACUCUUCAAGAGGGCCACUACUCUUCAAAUCUGACCCAUCACACCACUCUUCAAAGAAGCCCACCACGCUCCAGUUCACCUUCUGUGCUCAGAGGUCCUUGAUGAGGAUCUACCCCACCCCGCCACUCUUAAUCAUUAAUAAAAUAAAACAAUGGGACUUUAUAUACUCUGUACCAGUAUUUCUAUGCGUGUAAAGCCUGUGGGUGAAUUAAACAAUUACUGUAUGCAGAUGUGCAAUUUUGUUAAAACAUUUUGUUUUUGCCAUUGCGUGAUCUAUUUUAAAUGGAAUCUGAAACAUAUAUUCUUACAACUUUAAUUGGUAACUUGGAAAAUAAAUAGAAAUAUAAUGAA